UACGUAGGGGGCUAGCGUUGUCCGGAUUUAUUGGGCGUAAAGAGCGUGUAGGCGCCAGGUAGGUCUGCUGUGAAAACUCGAGGCUCAACCUCGAGACGUCGGCGGAAACCAUCUGGCUAGAGUCCGGAAGAGGAGAGUGGAAUUCCUGGUGUAGCGGUGAAAUGCGCAGAUAUCAGGAAGAACACCCGGUGGCGAAGGCGGCUCUCUGGGACGGUACCGACGCUGAGACGCGAAAGCGUGGGGAGCGAACAGG
rnacentral:rRNA from 1 species